AACGAACGCUGGCGGCAGGCCUAACACAUGCAAGUCGAGCGCGCACUUCGGUUCUCGCGGCGGACGGGUGAGUAACGCGUGGGACUGUGCCCUUCUCUUCGGAAUAGCCCUGGGAAACUGGUAGUCAUACCGUAUACGCCCUCUUGGGUAAGGAUUUAUCGGAGAAGGAUCAGCUCGCGUUGGUUUAGUUAGUUGGUGGGGUAAUGGCCUACCAAGCCUACGAUCCAUCGCUGGUUUGUUAGGAUGAUCAGACACACUGGGACUGAGAGACGGCCCAGACUCUUAGGGGAGGGAGCAGUGGGGAAUCUUAGACAAUGGGGGCAACCCUGAUCUGGCCAUGCCGGGUGAGGGAUGAGGGCCUGAGGGGUGUAAAGCCCUGUCAGCUGGGAAGAUAAUGACGGUACCAGCAGAAGAAGCCCCGGCUAACUCCGUG
rnacentral:rRNA from 1 species